rnacentral:rRNA from 1 species
GAUGAACGCUGGCGGCGUGCCUAAUACAUGCAAGUCGAGCGAACAGACGAGGAGCUUGCUCCUCUGACGUUAGCGGCGGACGGGUGAGUAACACGUGGAUAACCUACCUAUAAGACUGGGAUAACUUCGGGAAACCGGAGCUAAUACCGGAUAAUAUAUUGAACCGCAUGGUUCAAUAGUGAAAGACGGUUUUGCUGUCACUUAUAGAUGGAUCCGCGCCGCAUUAGCUAGUUGGUAAGGUAACGGCUUACCAAGGCAACGAUGCGUAGCCGACCUGAGAGGGUGAUCGGCCACACUGGAACUGAGACACGGUCCAGACUCCUACGGGAGGCAGCAGUAGGGAAUCUUCCGCAAUGGGCGAAAGCUUGACGGAGCAACGCCGCGUGAGUGAUGAAGGUCUUCGGAUCGUAAAACUCUGUUAUUAGGGAAGAACAAAUGUGUAAGUAACUAUGCACGUCUUGACGGUACCUAAUCAGAAAGCCACGGCUAACGACGUGC